rnacentral:piRNA from 1 species
UCCACCAGUCGGCUAAUGGAGACUUUCUA